CUUCUGGAACAAAACAAUAACAAGCUCUCAGGUGACGUAACAAAUGAAGGGUCCAUCAGACAGCAGAGAUUUUGAUAAAAUCAUAGUUGUGUCCGGUGGUGAUAAGCCACAUGAGAAAGAGAUAGAAACAAGAGUCGG
ensembl:ncRNA R04F11.8 ncRNA